rnacentral:rRNA from 1 species
CCUACGGGAGGCAGCAGUAAGGAAUCUUCCACAAUGGACGAAAGUCUGAUGGAGCAACGCCGCGUGCAGGAUGAAGGCUUUCGGGUCGUAAACUGCUUUUAUAUGGGAAGAUUAUGACGGUACCAUAUGAAUAAGGACCGGCUAACUACGUGCCAGCAGCCGCGGUAAUACGUAGGGUCCAAGCGAUAUCCGGAAUUACUGGGCGUAAAGCGUGUGUAGGUGGAUUAAUAAGUGUGAUGCGAAAUCCGGCGGCUCAACCGUUUGGACUGUGUCGCAUACUGUUAGUCUAGAGGACGGCAGAGGUAAGUGGAAUUACGGGUGUAGCAGUGAAAUGCGUAGAUAUCCGUAGGAACACCAAUGGCGAAGGCAGCUUACUGGGCCACACCUGACACUGAGACACGAAAGCGUGGGGAGCGAACAGGAUUAGAUACCCUGGUAGUCCACGCCGUAAACGAUGCAUACUAUUAGUAUGGGGUAUCGACCCCCUGUGCUGAGAAGCUAAUGCGAUAAGUAUGCCGCCUGGGGAGUACGAGCGCAAGCUUAAAACUACAAAGAAUUAGACGG